CCUAAAACACACACUACACACGCCAUUUUCCAUUUAAGCUUGGACGGAGCUUUUGACCUCCGAUUUGAGCACCGAGACAAGCGCCGAUCAUCUUUUCGAUCACGUAUCUAAGUAGGUCCUUUUGGGAAGUAACGACUUGAGGGAGAGAGUGACGUUACUCAUUGAUACAGAGACACAACGAGGUUGAGCUGAUGUGAUGAUGGUGCUGCAAUGAGCGGAGUCUCCAGGGUUGUUAAUAAAUAGUUAACCUGUCUAGAAUAUGUCUUCAUACAUAUGUCUAGCUACUUUCCGCUGCAAGAUGUUGUUGAUGUUAUAGUAUGUUAUGUCAUACUUUGAGUCUUAAGAGAAUGGUUGCAUAUGAUGUAUAACUUGAUUAAUGAUAUUAAUUAACUUUUAUGCAGUCUUUCAGACUGUUUUCAAUUGAGUAUUAAUGAAUAAAAAUGACGAGUUUUAUUAA